UCCGGACAGAGCAAAAAAAACAAGGCAUCAGUAUUGUUGAGUAUUAGCUUGUACCUGGUUCGGAGGCAAAGUAACUUGCAAGAUAUCCAUGCUUCCCCAGAAAGAGUAAAAUACGGGGUCAAAGGUGUUAACGCCUCAUCCUGCCAUCAUGAACAAAGUACCAUGCCCAGAUGGUCUUACAGAAUGAAAGUUCCAUGAGGUCUCCAUGAGUUCAAGUACCACAACUGAAAGAUCCCGCGUGCUGCAACGAGACCCGGUGCAGCCAAAUAAGUAAAUAAAUGUUUUAAAAAAUAAAUAAAUAAAAUUGAGCUAUUAAAAAAAAAGAUGGAGGCAGAUGGAUCACAGUCAGAGAAGGGGAUGUGAGGAUAGAAGUGGAGAAGAGAGAGAGAGAGAAGAGAGAAUAUGCUAGCUUUUGAAGAGGAGGAGGGGGCUGCGAACCAAAGAAAGCAGGUGGCAUCUAGAAACUGGAAGAAGAAAGGAGGGGAUUCAGCCCCAGAGCUUCCAGAAUGAAAAGCUUUCUCUGUGAACACCUCGAUUUUACUGAUGAGAGCCUUGUCAUAUUUCUGACUUACAGAACUACAAGAUAAUAUAUUUUGUGUUGCUCUAAGGGCUUGU
ensembl:lncRNA